GGCAAGGUAGCCAAGCGGUCUAAGGCGCCAGGUUCAGGACCACCUGAAUUCUAUGAUUCCUCCAAAAAGACAAUCUUCCUGGUCUCAGUAAUGGGGCGUGGGUUCGAAUCCCACCCUUGUCA